CAGCAGCCACGGUAAUACGGAGGGGGCUAGCGUUGUUCGGAAUUAUUGGGCGUAAAGGGCGCGUAGGCGGUUUGGCAAGUUUGGUGUGAAAUCUUCGGGCUCAACUCGAAGUCUGCAUCGAAAACUGCCGGGCUUGAAUAUUGGAGAGGCGAGUGGAAUUUCCGGUGUAGCGGUGAAAUGCGUAGAUAUCGGAAGGAACACCUGUGGCGAAAGCGGCUCACUGGACAAUAACUGACGCUGAUGCACGAAAGCUAGGGGAGCAAACAGGAUUAGAGACCCCGGUAGUCCCUGUCUCUUAUAC
rnacentral:rRNA from 1 species